rnacentral:rRNA from 1 species
UGCGAAGUGAAGCGGGAAAAGCUCAAAUUUAAAAUCUGGCGGUCCCUGUGGCCGUCCGAGUUGUAAUUUAGAGAAGUGUUAUCCGUGCUGGACCGUGUACAAGUCUCCUGGAAUGGAGCGUCAUGAGGGUGAGAAUCCCGUCUUUGACACGGACUGCCAGUGCAUUGUGAUGCGCUCUCAAAGAGUCGAGUUGUUUGGGAAUGCAGCUCAAAAUGGGUGGUAAAUUCCAUCUAAAGCUAAAUAUUGAGGAGAGACCGAUAGCGAACAAGUACCGUGAGGGAAAGAUGAAAAGAACUUUGGAAAGAGAGUUAAACAGUACGUGAAAUUGCUGAAAGGGAAACGCUUGAAGUCAGUCGCGCCGUUCAGGACUCAGCCUUGCUUUGCUUGGUGUACUUCCUGUUUGGUGGGUCAGCAUCAAUUUUGGUCGGUGGAUAAAGGCUUAGAGAAUGUGGCAUCCUCGGGUGUUUUAUAGCUCUGGGUCGCAUCCAUCGGCUGGGAUUGAGGAACUCAGCACCCGCAAGGCCGGGGACUUGUCCCACGUACGUGCUUAGGAUGCUGGCAUAAUGGCUUUAAUCGACCCGUCUUGAAACACGGACCAAGGAGUCUAACAUGCCUGCGAGUGUUUGGGUGGAAAACUCGAGCGCGUAAUGAAAGUGAAAGUUGAGAUCCCUGUCGUGGGGAGCAUCGACGCCCGGAGCAGACCUUUUGUGACGCAUCCGCGGUAGAGCAUGUAUGUUGGGACCCGAAAGAUGGUGAACUAUGCCUGAAUAGGGUGAAGCCAGAGGAAACUCUGGUGGAGGCUCGUAGCGAUUCUGACGUGCAAAUCGAUCGUCGAAUUUGGGUAUAGGGGC